CCCUUAGAUGUUCGGGGCCGCACGCGCGCUACACUGAAGGAAUCAGCACGUCUUUCUCCUUGUCCGAAAGGACUGGGUAACCCGCUGAACCUCCUUCGUGCUAGGGAUUGGGGCUUGUAACUCUUCCCCAUGAACGAGGAAUUCCCAGUAAGCGCGAGUCAUAAGCUCGCGUUGAUUACGUCCCUGCCCUUUGUACACACCGCCCGUCGCUACUACCGAUUGGAUGGUUUAGUGAGAUCCUCGGAUUGGUCCCGGCGCGGCCUCUGGUCGUGCCGGAGUGCCGAAAAGAAUGUCGAACUUGAUCAUCUAGAGGAAGUAAAAGUCGUAACA
rnacentral:rRNA from 1 species